GGGAGCGGUAAUCCCUCCCCAUCGGCUAUAUUCGGCGCGAGCGCCCAUCCACCCCAAGCGCCCCAUAUGGCUUGACCCGUCCGGUUGUCCCCCCGGACGGGUC
rfam:Bradyrhizobium erythrophlei strain GAS478 genome assembly, contig: Ga0132009_13